GGUGAAUAUUUGUUACUGCAGUAUUAUAUGGACUAUUAUUUUUUCCAUUCUGGUUAUAUCAGUAAUGGCAGAUUAUCUAGACGACGAAAGCUUUGGUUUGGCUGAUAAUCCAAGCUGGUUGGAAAAAUCCGAACCCGAAGAAGUUAACGGUAAUUUGAUAAAUCCAGAAGAAGACCAGAUUAUUGUCGAUCGAAGAGGAUUCAACAGAUAUUUGUCCAAGCAUAAAGGUGUAAUUCCAUACUACUUGCAUAGAGACGGUAUUAAUUAUGGUGGUCGCCCGGGUCCAGCCUCAACCCGUCUCUGGGGAAGUCGUUUAUACGGAAUGUCUAGGAUGAGACCAAGUUUUGGACUCGUUUCUGUCAAUAGCCGAAGUGGACCUUUUGGUGUUAAAAAAUAGGCAAUUGUUGUGCGCAUGCCUGAAUGCGAAACAGGGAUCUGUAUAAAAGUUUAUUUGAUGUAAAGUUUGUCGACGGAUUAUAUUUUAAAUUUUGCAUUGAAACAAAUUUUGUUUCGUUAAGUGAAAAUAUUCCUUUGAUAAUUUCCUGCUUUAAAGCGAUUUGUUUUGUCAUGACCUGCCACUACAUUCCUAAUAAAACCAUAAUCAUAACAUUUUUCAAGAAUGAGGUUUUUUUUUGUAUUGUCGUUUUGUUAAUCUGUUUGAUAUCACGAUAUUAAUAGUUGAUUUAAUUUUUUCCUGAGAAUUUCAUACAACUUAGAUGAAUAAUUGUAGACAAGAAUUUUGUAAACUGGAGGUAUGGUGAUUAAUUGAAUGCCAGUUAUUUCUUUAUAAGAAUUAAUAGUUUACAAUUCAAUUUUGAUAACUUAUGGCUUCUCCAAUUUAAUGUGUAUUUUUAGACGUAGGAAAAUGAAAUCAAAUCAAAAUUACGCUAUAAGAUGUGUUACCGUUCACAUUAAAUAAGACAAUGUUGUGCAGAAUUGCUUUCGAUAUCCAGAACAGUUGUAAAUGACAGACAAAACCUACACCCCAUUUUUCAUUGAUGUGUCUUCUACUUUAAAAUUCUCGUACUAGUCUAACAGCUUUUGAUAUUUUAUGUAUAGCUUUAGGUAUGUAUUUACAAAUUUCAUGUAAUCCUAAUUUUAUGUUUAGUAAUACUGCAAAAAAACUCUAUGCAGUAUGUCUAAAAAUUGUCAACUAUAUCAAUACUGUUAAAUAAAAUGUGUAAGAAUAAAUUA